rnacentral:rRNA from 1 species
GUCGAGAAUCUUCCGCAAUGCGCGAAAGCGUGACGGAGCGACACCGCGUGAUGGAUGAAGUCCUUCGGGGCGUAAACAUCUUUUAUAAAGGAGGAAAUUUUUGACGUUACUUUAUGAAUAAGGGGCUCCCAAUCUCGUGCCAGCAGGAGCGGUAAUACGAGAGCCUCAAGCGUUAUCCGGAAUCAUUGGGCGUAAAGGGUGCGUAGGUGGUUUGAUUAGUCUCCCGUUAAAACUUCGAGCUUAACUCGAAAAGAGCGGGGGAAACGGUCAAACUAGAGUAUGUGAGAGGUGUGUGCAACUCAUGGUGUAGGGGUGAAAUCCGUUGAUAUCAUGGGGAACACCAAAAGCGAAGGCAGCACACUGGCACAUCACUGACACUGAGGCACGAAACCUAAGGUAGCGAAUGGGAUUAGAAACCCCUGUAGUCC